rnacentral:rRNA from 1 species
UACGUAGGUGGCAAGCGUUGUCCGGAUUUACUGGGCGUAAAGAGCGCGCAGGCGGUCAAGUAGUCGAAUGUGAAAGCCCCGGCUCAACUGGGGAGGUCAUUCGAUACUGCUCGACUUGAAGGCAGGAGAGGGCAGCAGAAUUCCGGUGUAGUGGUGAAAUGCGUAGAUAUCGGGAGGAAUACCAGUGGCGAAGGCGGCUGCCUGGCCUGUUCUUGACGCUGAGGCGCGAAAGCUGGGGGAGCAAACGGG